rnacentral:rRNA from 1 species
GCACCCUGAUCCAGCCAUGCCGCGUGAGUGAAGAAGGCCUUCGGGUUGUAAAGCUCUUUCAGAUGCGAAGAUGAUGACGGUAACAUCAGAAGAAGCCCCGGCUAAUUUCGUGCCAGCAGCCGCGGUAAUACGAAAGGGGCUAGCGUUGUUCGGAUUUACUGGGCGUAAAGGGCACGCAGGCGGUCUUGCCAGUCAGGGGUGAAAGCCCGAGGCUCAACCUCGGAACUGCCUCUGAUACUGUAAGACUUGAGACUAGGAGAGGGUGGUGGAAUUCCCAGUGUAGAGGUGAAAUUCGUAGAUAUUGGGAGGAACACCAGAGGCGAAGGCGGCCACCUGGACUAGAUCUGACGCUCAGGUGCGAAAGCGUGGGGAGCAAACAGGAUUAGAUACCCUGGUAGUCCACGCCGUAAACGAUGAGUGCUAGUUGUCGGGACUUCGGUUUCGGUGACGCAGCUAACGCAUUAAGCACUCCGCCUGGGGAGUACGGUCGCAAGAUUAAAACUCA